rnacentral:rRNA from 1 species
CACACUAUCAUUAACUGAAUCCAUAGGUUAAUGAGGCGAACCGGGGGAACUGAAACAUCUAAGUACCCCGAGGAAAAGAAAUCAACCGAGAUUCCCCCAGUAGCGGCGAGCGAACGGGGAGCAGCCCAGAGCCUGAAUCAGUGUGUGUGUUAGUGGAAGCGUCUGGAAAGGCGCGCGAUACAGGGUGACAGCCCCGUACACAAAAAUGCACAUACUGUGAGCUCGAUGAGUAGGGCGGGACACGUGGUAUCCUGUCUGAAUAUGGGGGGACCAUCCUCCAAGGCUAAAUACUCCUGACUGACCGAUAGUGAACCAGUACCGUGAGGGAAAGGCGAAAAGAACCCCGGCGAGGGGAGUGAAAAAGAACCUGAAACCGUGUACGUACAAGCAGUGGGAGCACGCUUAGGCGUGUGACUGCGUACCUUUUGUAUAAUGGGUCAGCGACUUAUAUUCUGUAGCAAGGUUAACCGAAUAGGGGAGCCGAAGGGAAACCGAGUCUUAACUGGGCGUUAAGUUGCAGGGUAUAGACCCGAAACCCGGUGAUCUAGCCAUGGGCAGGUUGAAGGUUGGGUAACACUAACUGGAGGACCGAACCGACUAAUGUUGAAAAAUUAGCGGAUGACUUGUGGCUGGGGGUGAAAGGCCAAUCAAACCGGGAGAUAGCUGGUUCUCCCCGAAAGCUAUUUAGGUAGCGCCUCGUGAAUUCAUCUCCGGGGGUAGAGCACUGUUUCGGCAAGGGGGUCAUCCCGACUUACCAACCCGAUGCAAACUGCGAAUACCGGAGAAUGUUAUCACGGGAGACACACGGCGGGUGCUAACGUCCGUCGUGAAGAGGGAAACAACCCAGACCGCCAGCUAAGGUCCCAAAGUCAUGGUUAAGUGGGAAACGAUGUGGGAAGGCCCAGACAGCCAGGAUGUUGGCUUAGAAGCAGCCAUCAUUUAAAGAAAGCGUAAUAGCUCACUGGUCGAGUCGGCCUGCGCGGAAGAUGUAACGGGGCUAAACCAUGCACCGAAGCUGCGGCAGCGACGCUGAUGCGUUGUUGGGUAGGGGAGCGUUCUGUAAGCCUGCGAAGGUGUGCUGUGAGGCAUGCUGGAGGUAUCAGAAGUGCGAAUGCUGACAUAAGUAACGAUAAAGCGGGUGAAAAGCCCGCUCGCCGGAAGACCAAGGGUUCCUGUCCAACGUUAAUCGGGGCAGGGUGAGUCGACCCCUAAGGCGAGGCCGAAAGGCGUAGUCGAUGGGAAACAGGUUAAUAUUCCUGUACUUGGUGUUACUGCGAAGGGGGGACGGAGAAGGCUAUGUUGGCCGGGCGACGGUUGUCCCGGUUUAAGCGUGUAGGCUGGUUUUCCAGGCAAAUCCGGAAAAUCAAGGCUGAGGCGUGAUGACGAGGCACUACGGUGCUGAAGCAACAAAUGCCCUGCUUCCAGGAAAAGCCUCUAAGCAUCAGGUAACAUCAAAUCGUACCCCAAACCGACACAGGUGGUCAGGUAGAGAAUACCAAGGCGCUUGAGAGAACUCGGGUGAAGGAACUAGGCAAAAUGGUGCCGUAACUUCGGGAGAAGGCACGCUGAUAUGUAGGUGA